rnacentral:tRNA from 1 species
UGGGGUGUGGCUCAGUGGUAACGCACUUAUCUGAUAUGUGUAAGACACUGGGUUCGAUUCUCAGCACCACAU